rnacentral:lncRNA from 1 species
GAAAGAAUUCUUGGAAAUUGCCUGUGUGUGCAAGAGUAACUUGCUGUUGAGUCACUCCUUUAAAAAAGGCACAAGUUGUAGGGCUGGUUAGGAAACACAGAAAGGCAGUCACAUUGGCCGUAGGAGAUGGAGCUAAUGACAUCAGCCUAAUCAAAAGUGCACACACAGGAGUUGUCAUCAGUAGCCAGGAAAGAAUGCAAGCAGUCUUGGCCAGUGCCUAUUCAUUUGCCCUAUUCAGAUACCUGCAGAGACUUGCUCUUGUUUAUGGCAGGUGGUUUUAUCUCAGAAUGUGCAAGUGUUAUUUCUUCUACAAAAACUUUACUUUCACACAGAUGUAUCUCCUGAAACCAGAGAGAGGAACUGAUGGAAAAUUCUAAACUGCAGCUACAAUGCGUAUUCCAAAAAUCAUGCAGUGGUGACUUCAGAAAAGGAAAUCAUUCCUGAUGCUGCUGGCAUGGCUCCAGAAAAGAGAGACUCAAGGACUGUGUGAAAGCAUGAAUAACUGUGAGACUCUUACUGUUCUGAGCCUCGGGAAGUAAGCUUUAUGUAUCUGUAGAAGGGGAUUUUUUUUUUUAGUAACUGAAGUAAUUAAAUGUAACAUUUGAUUAUAAUUUAUAGAAUUGCACACUAUUGGAAAGCUUUUAAUGAAU